rnacentral:rRNA from 1 species
UACGAAGGGUGCAAGCGUUACUCGGAAUUACUGGGCGUAAAGCGUGCGUAGGUGGUUCGUUAAGUCUGAUGUGAAAGCCCUGGGCUCAACCUGGGAAUGGCAUUGGAAACUGGCGACCUAGAGUGCGGUAGAGGGUAGUGGAAUUCCCGGUGUAGCAGUGAAAUGCGUAGAGAUGCGGCGGAACACCGAUGGCGAAGGCAGCCCCCUGGGCUUAAAUUGACGCUGAGGCACGAAAGCGUGGGGAGCAAACAGG